CGCUGAUUUGUGGGUAGCAAUAUUCGCAAGUUGGAGUGGCGCAAGGGUGUGUAACACGUGGGUAAUCUGCCAUGAAGUCUGGGAUAACUUGCUGAAAGGCGAGCUAAUACCGGAUGUGAACGCAAGUUCAAAGUUGGGGACCGUAAGGCCUGACGCUUCAUGAUGAGCCCGCGGCCUAUCAGCUAGUUGGUGAGGUAACGGCUCACCAAGGCUAAGACGGGUAGCUGGUCUGAGAGGACGACCAGCCACACUGGAACUGAGACACGGUCCAGACACCUACGGGUGGCAGCAGUCGAGAAUUUUUCUCAAUGGGCGAAAGCCUGAAGGAGCGACGCCGCGUGGGGGAUGAAUGGCUUCGGCCCGUAAACCCCUGUCAUUUGUGAACAAAUUGUUUCACCUAACACGUGAAAUAUUGAUUGUAACGGAAGAGGAAGGGACGGCUAACUCUGUGCCAGCAGCCGCGGUAAUACAGAGGUCCCAAGCGUUGUUCGGAUUCACUGGGCGUAAAGGGUGCGUAGGUGGCCAAGUAAGUUUGAUGUG
rnacentral:rRNA from 1 species